rnacentral:rRNA from 2 species
GCGGGCUGGACCUCUCGGGGUUACAGCCUUGCUGAAUUAUUCACCCUUGUCUUUUGCGUACUUCUUGUUUCCUUGGUGGGUUCGCCCACCACUAGGACAAACAUAAACCUUUUGUAAUUGCAAUCAGCGUCAGUAACAAAUUAAUAAUUACAACUUUCAACAACGGAUCUCUUGGUUCUGGCAUCGAUGAAGAACGCAGCGAAAUGCGAUAAGUAGUGUGAAUUGCAGAAUUCAGUGAAUCAUCGAAUCUUUGAACGCACAUUGCGCCCUUUGGUAUUCCAAAGGGCAUGCCUGUUCGAGCGUCAUUUGUACCCUCAAGCUUUGCUUGGUGUUGGGCGUCUUGUCUCUAGCUUUGCUGGAGACUCGCCUUAAAGUAAUUGGCAGCCGGCCUACUGGUUUCGGAGCGCAGCACAAGUCGCACUCUCUAUCAGCAAAGGUCUAGCAUCCAUUAAGCCUUUUUUUCAACUUUUGACCUCGGAUCAGGUAGGGAUACCCGCUGAACUUAAGCAUAUCAAAGCCCGGAGGAAAGAACAUUAACAAUUAUGAAGGCGGCUGGAACUCUCGGGGUUAAGCCUUGCUGAAUUAUUCCCCUUGUCUUUUGCGUACUUCUUGUUUCUUGGUGGGU